UGUGGAAUAUUGCACAAUGGGGGAAACCCUGAUGCAGCAACGCCGCGUGCGGGAUGACGGCCUUCGUGUUGUAAACCGCUUUCAGCCAUGACGAAGCUUUUGUGACGGUAGUGGUAUAAGAAGCACCGGCUAAAUACGUGCCAGCAGCCGCGGUGAUACGUAGGGUGCGAGCGUUGUCCGGAAUUAUUGGGCGUAAAGAUCUUGUAGGCGGUUUGUCGCGUCGCAAGUGUAAACGAAUUGCUUAACGCUGAGCCUGCUUUCGAUACGGGCUGACUAAAGGAAGGUAGGGGAGAAUGGAAUUCCCGGUGGAGCGGUGGAAUGCGCAGAUAUCGGGAGGAACACCAGUGGCGAAGGCGGUUCUCUGGACCUUUCCUGACGCUGCGAAGCGAAAGCGUGGGUAGCAAACAGG
rnacentral:rRNA from 1 species